GUUUUAAGGGCUGGUGGAAGCGGUGAAGUAAAGGCUUCCUUUUUUGGCAGUGGAGGAGCUGUGUCUCCAUCACCUUGUUCUCCUCGGGGCCAGUAUGAACAUUACCAUGCCAUCUUUGACCAAAUGCAGCAGCUAAGAGCAGAAGAUAAUGAAGCGAGAUGGAAAGGGAGAAUAUAUGGUCGAUGGCUCCCUGAAAGGCAAAAAGGACACCUAGGUGUAGAGAGAGCCAAACAAGUGGAAGAAUUCCUACAGCGUAAACAAGAAGCUAUGCAGAAUAAAGCCCGAGCAGAAGGACAUGUGGGAAUCCUGCAAAACCUGGCAUCUCUAUAUGGAGGCAGGCCCAGCUCUUCAAGAGGAGGGAAGCCCAGGAACAAGGAGGAAGAGGUUUAUCUGGCAAGACUGAGGCAAAUAAGACUACAAAAUUUUAAUGAGCGCCAUAGAAGCAAUCCUAAAAAUCACUAAGAUUUGGUAUUGAAGGAUAGCAAGGUUGUAUUCCCUGACACUUCAACGUUCCUUACUUCUUCUGUCUCU
rnacentral:lncRNA from 1 species